CCUACGGGGGGCAGCAGUGAGGAAUAUUGGUCAAUGGACGAGAGUCUGAACCAGCCAAGUAGCGUGAAGGAUGACUGCCCUAUGGGUUGUAAACUUCUUUUAUAAAGGAAUAAAACGAGGCACGUGUGCCUUUUUGCAUGUACUUUAUGAAUAAGGAUCGGCUAACUCCGUGCCAGCCGCCGCGGUAAUACGGAGGAUCCGAGCGUUAUCCGGAUUUAUUGGGUUUAAAGGGUGCGUAGAUGGGUUGUUAAGUCAGUUGUGAAAGUUUGCGGCUCAACCGUAAAAUUGCAAUUGAUACUGGCAGUCUUGAGUACAGUUGAGGUAGGCGGAAUUCGUGGUGUAGCGGUGAAAUGCUUAGAUAUCACGAAGAACCCCGAUUGCGAAGGCAGCUUACUAAACUGUGACUGACAUUGAUGCUCGAAAGUGUGGGAAUCAAACAGGAUUAGAUACCCGAGUAGUC
rnacentral:rRNA from 1 species